UAGGGGGUUAGUUUGUGCACAGACACAGAACAGGAAGGAGCACAGACACAGAACAGGAAGGAGCACAGAACAGGACAGGAAGGAGCACAGAACAGGACAGGAAGGAGCACAGAACAGGACAGGAAGGAGCACAGAACAGGACAGGAAGGAGCACAGAACAGGACAGGAAGGAGCACAGAACAGGACAGGAAGGAGCACAGAACAGGACAGGAAGGAGCACAGAACAGGACAGGAAGGAGCACAGAACAGGACAGGAAGGAGCACACAUCAGAAUACAACAGCUGGUUUCACAUGUUUUGUUUGUUUCGUUAAUUUCCUUCCCGCAGGCUGAAAUGUGUAAAGGACUGUCCUCCCUUCCCUCGUCAUGCUUGGAGAAAGCAAAGGGGAUGCGGGUGAAGUUGUGUCACCUGGCUGACAAACAGGAGUGGACACAUCACAAACACAGGGUCCAGGAGGACAGGACUCUUCAGGAUCUUAGUCCUCUAUUCAACAGCAAGA